UCGCCCGCUUCUCCUCCCUGAGCGGGUGCCUUAAUCCUUUUAAGGCUGUCCCCGGGCUUUAAUCCCCUUUAAGCCCGGGGCUUUUUUU
rfam:Betaproteobacteria bacterium RIFCSPLOWO2_02_FTLL_65_20 rifcsplowo2_02_scaffold_12853, whole genome shotgun sequence.